UACGUAGGGGGCAAGCGUUAUCCAGAUUUACUGGGCGUAAAGCGCGUGUAGGCGGCUGGUUAGGCGUGAUGUGAAAUCUUCCGGCUCAACCGGAAAACUGCAUUGCGAACCGGCCUGGCUAGAGUGCAGGAGAGGGAAGCGGAAUUCCAGGUGUAGCGGUGAAAUGCGUAGUUAUCUGGAGGAACACCAGUGGCGAAGGCGGCUUCCUGGCCUGCAACUGACGCUGAGACGCGAAAGCGUGGGGAGCGAACCGG
rnacentral:rRNA from 1 species